rnacentral:rRNA from 1 species
AUUGAACGCUGGCGGCAGGCCUAACACAUGCAAGUCGAGCGGAUGAAGGGAGCUUGCUCCUGGAUUCAGCGGCGGACGGGUGAGUAAUGCCUAGGAAUCUGCCUGGUAGUGGGGGAUAACGUCCGGAAACGGGCGCUAAUACCGCAUACGUCCUGAGGGAGAAAGUGGGGGAUCUUCGGACCUCACGCUAUCAGAUGAGCCUAGGUCGGAUUAGCUAGUUGGUGGGGUAAAGGCCUACCAAGGCGACGAUCCGUAACUGGUCUGAGAGGAUGAUCAGUCAACACUGAAACUGAAACAGGGCCCAGACUCCACGGGGAGGCAGCGGGGGGAAAUAUUGGCCAAGGGGCGAAGGCUUGAUCAAGCAAGGCGGGGGUGUGGAAGAAGGCCUUCGGAUGGUAAACCACUUUAGGUGGGGAGAAAGGGAAGUAAGUUAGAACCUUGCUGUUUGACCGUUACCAAAAGAAUAGCACCGGCUAACUUCGUG